rnacentral:rRNA from 1 species
CCUACGGGAGGCAGCAGUGGGGAAUAUUGCACAAUGGGGGAAACCCUGAUGCAGCGACGCCGCGUGAGUGAAGAAGUAUUUCGGUAUGUAAAGCUCUAUCAGCAGGGAAGAAGAAAGACGGUACCUGACUAAGAAGCCCCGGCUAACUACGUGCCAGCAGCCGCGGUAAUACGUAGGGGGCAAGCGUUAUCCGGAUUUACUGGGUGUAAAGGGAGCGUAGACGGCUGUGCAAGUCUGAAGUGAAAGCCCAGGGCUCAACCCUGGGACUGCUUUGGAAACUGUGGAGCUAGAGUGCUGGAGAGGUAAGUGGAAUUCCUAGUGUAGCGGUGAAAUGCGUAGAUAUUAGGAGGAACACCAGUGGCGAAGGCGGCUUGCUGGACUGUAACUGACACUGAGGCUCGAAAGCGUGGGGAGCAAACAGGAUUAGAUACCCGUGUAGUC